rnacentral:rRNA from 1 species
UCCGUAGGUGAACCUGCGGAAGGAUCAUUACCGAGUGCGGGCCCUCUGGGUCCAACCUCCCAUCCGUGUCUAUCUGUACCCUGUUGCUUCGGCGUGGCCACGGCCCGCCGGAGACUAACAUUUGAACGCUGUCUGAAGUUUGCAGUCUGAGUUUUUAGUUAAACAAUCGUUAAAACUUUCAACAACGGAUCUCUUGGUUCCGGCAUCGAUGAAGAACGCAUCGAAAUGCGAUAAUUAAUGUGAAUUGCAGAAUUCAGUGAAUCAUCGAGUCUUUGAACGCACAUUGCGCCCCCUGGUAUUCCGGGGGGCAUGCCUGUCCGAGCGUCAUUGCUGCCCUCAAGCACGGCUUGUGUGUUGGGCUUCCGUCCCUGGCAACGGGGACGGGCCCAAAAGGCAGUGGCGGCACCAUGUCUGGUCCUCGAGCGUAUGGGGCUUUGUCACCCGCUCCCGUAGGUCCAGCUGGCAGCUAGCCUCGCAACCAAUCUUUUUAACCAGGUUGACCUCGGAUCAGGUAGGGAUACCCGCUGAACUUAAGCAUAUCAAUAAGCGGAGGA